rnacentral:rRNA from 1 species
CCGCGGGAUUAGAGUUUGAUCCUGGCUCAGAAUCAACGCUGGCGGCGUGCCUAACACAUGCAAGUCGAACGAGAAAGUGGAGCAAUCCAUGAGUAAAGUGGCGCACGGGUGAGUAACACGUGACUAACCUACCCUUGAGUGGGGAAUAACUUCGGGAAACCGAGGCUAAUACCGCAUAACACCUACGGGUCAAAGGAGCAAUUCGCUUAAGGAGGGGGUCGCGGCAGAUUAGUUAGUUGGCGGGGUAAUGGCCCACCAAGACAGUGAUCUGUACCCGGCCUGAGAGGGCGCACGGACACACUGGAACUGAAACACGGUCCAGACUCCUACGGGAGGCAGCAGUGGGGAAUUUUGCGCAAUGGGGGAAACCCUGACGCAGCAACGCCGCGUGGAGGAUGAAGUCUCUUGGGACGUAAACUCCUUUCGAUCGGGACGAUAAUGACGGUACCGAGAGAAGAAGCCCCGGCUAACUUCGUGCCAGCAGCCGCGGUAAUACGAGGGGGGCGAGCGUUGUUCGGAAUUAUUGGACGUAAAGGGUGCGUAGGCGGUUCGGUAAGUCUUGUGUGAAAUCUUCGGGCUCAACUCGAAGUCUGCACGAGAAACUGCCGGGCUUGAGUGUGGGAGAGGUGAGUGGAAUUUCCGGUGUAGCGGUGAAAUGCGUAGAUAUCGGAAGGAACACCUGUGGCGAAAGCGGCUCACUGGACCACAACUGACGCUGAGGCACGAAAGCUAGGGGAGCAAACAGGAUUAGAUACCCUGGUAGUCCUAGCCCUAAACGAUGAUCGCUUGGUGUGGCGGGUACCCAAUCCC